rnacentral:rRNA from 1 species
AAACCAACAGGGAUUGCCUCAGUAACGGCGAGUGAAGCGGCAAAAGCUCAAAUUUGAAAUCCCCCGGGAAUUGUAAUUUGAAGGACCUAUUAAAACCCUGAGAGAGCCCAAAGUCCAUUGGAAAAUGGCGCCAUAGAAGGUGAUAGCCCUGUGUGGACCUCUCUCAGCAUACUUUUUAGGCCCAAAGAGUCGAGUUGUUUGGGAAUGCAGCUCUAAGUGGGUGGUAAAUUCCAUCUAAAGCUAAAUAUUGGCGAGAGACCGAUAGCGAACAAGUACAGUGAUGGAAAGAUGAAAAGCACUUUGAAAAGAGAGUGAAAAAGUACGUGAAAUUGUUGAAAGGGAAGGGCUUGCAAGCAGACACAACCUCGGUUGGGCCAGCAUCGGGGCGGGGGGAAACAAAAAAGGUGUGGAAUGUGGCUCUUACGAGUGUUAUAGCCCCACCCAAUAUUUCCAUCCCAUCCCGAGGCCUGCGAUUCUUCAAGGAUGCUGGCGUAAUGGUUGCAAGUCGCCCGUC